GUGGGGAAUAUUGGACAAUGGGCGCAAGCCUGAUCCAGCCAUGCCGCGUGAGUGAUGAAGGCCCUAGGGUUGUAAAGCUCUUUCACCGGUGAAGAUAAUGACGGUAACCGGAGAAGAAGCCCCGGCUAACUUCGUGCCAGCAGCCGCGGUAAUACGAAGUGGGCUAGCGUUGUUCGGAAUUACUGGGCGUAAAGCGCACGUAGGCGGACAUUUAAGUCAGGAGUGAAAUCCCGGGGCUCAACCCCGGAACUGCCUUAGAUACUGUGUGUCUGGAGUAUGGAAGAGGUAAGUUGCAUUCCGAGUGUAGAGGUGAAAUUCGUAGAUAUUCGGAGGAACACCAGUGGCGAAGGCGGCUUACUGGUCCAUUACUGACGCUGAGGUACGAAAGCGUGGGGAGCAAACAGGAUUAGAUACCCUAGUAGUCC
rnacentral:rRNA from 1 species